UAGUGAAGAUGGAGAAAUAGUCAAUAAUGAAGAGCAUGAAUAUGCAUCCAAAAAAAGGAAAAAGGACCAUUUUAGAAAUGACACAAAUACUCAAAGUUUUUAUCAUGAAAAAUGGAUCUAUGUCCAUAAAGAAAGCACAAAAGAAAGGCAUGGCUAUUGCACCUUGGGAGAAGCCUUUAAUCGGUUAGACUUCUCAAGUGCAAUUCAAGAUAUCCGAAGGUUCAAUUAUGUGGUCAAAGAGGAUUUAGGCAGAGGGAUAUCAGCUGCAUGGAGAUCCAUUUAUGACCCAAGAGGUAAAGACAAGAAAAUGGGGCCCAGAGAGAUGGGCUGAAGGUCACAAUGGAAUCAAGGACAGAGACCAAAAACGUAGCUGUCCUGACAGCCGUGAAGAGCUUCUUCAUUACGACUUUAUUUCCUAAGUCUAUAAACUUUGAUUUUCCUCUGAUGUAAAUUAAGUGACUUUCUUAAAUGCAUCAUAUGACUUUUUAAAAAAUUUUUUAAAUUAUACUUUUAAGUUCUGGUA
rnacentral:lncRNA from 1 species